AAAGUCGUAACAAGGUUUCCGUAGGUGAACCUGCGGAAGGAUCAUUAACGUAUGUUUGAAGGGGUUUGAUGCUGGUCUUCCCACAAAGGGGAGACACUGUGCGCACCCCCUCACCUUCUAAUCCCACACACCUUUGUGCACCAUGGUGGUGGCAUUUCCCACCCCAUUCUCACACACCCAUCCCUGUCACAAUGCAUGUCUUGAUGGCUCUACGGAGUUAUAUAAACAUUAUACAACUUUCAACAACGGAUCUCUUGGCUUUC
rnacentral:misc_RNA from 1 species